GGGACCUAGCGUAGUUCGGAAUUACUGGGCUUAAAGAGUUCGUAGGUGGUUGAAAAAGUUAGUGGUGAAAUCCCAGAGCUUAACUCUGGAACUGCCAUUAAAACUUUUCAGCUAGAGUAUGAUAGAGGAAAGCAGAAUUUCUAGUGUAGAGGUGAAAUUCGUAGAUAUUAGAAAGAAUACCAAUUGCGAAGGCAGCUUUCUGGAUCAUUACUGACACUGAGGAACGAAAGCAUGGGUAGCGAAGAGGAUUAGAUACCCCUGUAGUCCUAGCCGUAAACGAUGAACACUAGGUGUCGGGGGAAUCGACCCCUCGGUGUCGUAGCCAACGCGUUAAGUGUUCCGCCUGGGGAGUACGCACGCAAGUGUGAAACUCAAAGGAAUUGACGGGGGCCCGCACAAGCGGUGGAGUAUGUGGUUUAAUUCGAUGCAACGCGAAGAACCUUACCAGGGUUUGACAUCCUGCGGAUCUCUUGGAAACGAGAGAGUGCCUUCGGGAGCGCAGUGACAGGUGGUGCAUGGCU
rnacentral:rRNA from 1 species